UCCUCCGAUGGGAACCUGCAGUCAUGGCGUUAAAAAUUAUGGCUUAUAGAUCAUUAAAGUCACUUUUUCUCUACAACAAUCCCAUAGAUCAGACAAAAUAUCAUCAACGAUCAAAAACAACUGAUUUUAAAGAAAAGAGAGAUAUAAAUUAAAAACUCCGUUGAAUGGCUUUAUGUAAUUGGGACAUCUAAGAAAGAGGUGAAGUGAUUUCGAUUUUAGAGCAUCUUAUUAUGGAUUCUGAUCUUAUGAAAUUUAUGUCAUGGAACCAUCAAAGUAUUUUUGAUUGUUUAAUAUUAUGGAUCUCGAAAGAUUUUGAUUAAAUCUUGGUUUACUAUUUUUGACUGAUUUUUUUAUUUUCUAAUUAUACAGAAAUUAGAUAUUUGAUCUUUACAGGGUUAUUCCUUAAUGCUCUAGAAACAUUUUCUGAAUCUCUCCUCCGCCAAUACCUACUACACCGCUUCCACAGUUUCCAGAAGUCUUCACACUCUUUCUUAGCCAGAAACGGCCAAGCCGCAGAUGCUUUCGUUGCAACCAUCAGUAGAAGUUUGUGCUUCUUCCUCUAAACCUCCAUGCCACCACUGUCAUAACAACCUGAAGUAAUGAAAAAAAUGCCUCAUCUACCUUUGUCUCUUGAUUUUUAUCAGCUUAGACCGUUAGAUAAAGAGAGAGCUCUAUUAUUAAGCUGAAACCAGUUUAUUGGGAUAAAUUCAGGACUACACCCAACUGGACUAUGGUCUGUGGUGAAAAACUCAGAACAAGUUCUUUUGAAUUGGACGAAGAGAUGAUUGGUUGCUAUUUGGAUACGCAAUGCAAAACUCAAAGAACGAAGAACGAAAAUGCAAGACUUCAUCCCCAAGGAAACAUCUUCUUGAAGCUAAAAGACUUCAGAACUUUACCAUUCUCUUGAAAGCCCUUAACGCAAGCGCCGAUCAAAUAUGCUCCUCUUUGGAAAAAGCUAAGCCAAGAUCAGCUCGAGUCGGUCUGUUGUGGACCUUAUCUGAUUAUAAACCUUUCUUUUGUUUCAGGGGAAGGGUUUUUCUACAGCAACCAGAAGCAUUGGUGAAGAUGGUGCUGACUAAAGAAGAAGAGCUAAAGUUGUGUAGCUACAAAGAAGUAGUAGAUGAGCUUGGAUCUGCUGAAAAUUUUCUGAAGGCGCUUUUGUUAGUGAAAUAAUGCUUUAUAAAGACGUUUGAAGAUGAAGAAGCUCAUCUCAGAAACUCCUUCCCAAUGCUUGAGGAACCAUAUGUGAUGGCCCAAAAGCCUUCAAGUUUGAUGCUCUCUCUGCUUAAGCUCUCUGAUAUUAAGUACACAGAGGGUAAGGCAACUCAACUCCACUUUGUCGUGCACGAGAUAUCCUGUGAUAUUAUAUAUUGAUUGAUUUGAGUUAUAUAGAAACUACAUUUAAUUUUAGAUUUUUUUAUUAGUACUUUUCUGUAAUAUAGCAACUGAUUUGUUAGAUAUCUAAAUGAUUU